rnacentral:misc_RNA from 1 species
GAUGAAGAACGCAGCGAAAUGCGAUAAGUAAUGUGAAUUGCAGAAUUCAGUGAAUCAUCGAAUCUUUGAACGCACAUUGCGCCCGCUAGUACUCUGGCGGGCAUGCCUGUCCGAGCGUCAUUUCAACCCUCAAGCCCCCGGGCUUGGUGUUGGGGAUCGGCGAGCCUCCGCGCCCGCCGUCCCCUAAAUCUAGUGGCGGUCUCGCUGUAGCUUCCUCUGCGUAGUAGCACACCUCGCACUGGGAAACAGCGCGGCCACGCCGUUAAACCCCCAACUUCUGAACGUUUGACCUCGGAUCAGGUAGGAAUACCCGCUGAACUUAAGCAUAUCAAUAAGCGGAGGA